AACGAACGCUGGCGGCAUGCCUAACACAUGCAAGUCGAACGAGACCUUCGGGUCUAGUGGCGCACGGGUGCGUAACGCGUGGGAACCCGCCCUUAGGUUCGGAAUAACUCCCCGAAAGGGGUGCUAAUACCGGAUAAUGUCUUCGGACCAAAGAUUUAUCGCCUUUGGAUGGGCCCGCGUUGGAUUAGCUAGUUGGUAGGGUAAAAGCCUACCAAGGCGACGAUCCAUAGCUGGUCUGAGAGGAUGAUCAGCCACACUGGGACUGAGACACGGCCCAGACUCCUACGGGAGGCAGCAGUGGGGAAUAUUGGACAAUGGGCGAAAGCCUGAUUCAGCAAUGCCGCGUGAGUGAUGAAGGCCUUAGGGUUGUAAAGCUCUUUUACCCGGGAUGAUAAUGACAGUACCGGGAGAAUAAGCUCCGGCUAACUCCGUG
rnacentral:rRNA from 1 species